rnacentral:rRNA from 1 species
GACGAACGCUGGCGGCGUGCUUAACACAUGCGAGUCGAACGGAAAGGCCCUGCUUUUGUGGGGUGCUCGAGUGGCGAACGGGUGAGUAACACGUGAGUAACCUGCCCUUGACUUUGGGAUAACUUCAGGAAACUGGGGCUAAUACCGGAGAGGAGCUCCUGCUGCAUGGGGGGGGUUGGAAAGUUUCGGCGGUUGGGGAUGGACUCGCGGCUUAUCAGCUGGUUGGUGUGGUAGUGGCUUACCAAGGCUUUGACGGGUAGCCGGCCUGAGAGGGUGACCGGCCACAUUGGGACUGAGAUACGGCCCAGACUCCUACGGGAGGCAGCAGUGGGGAAUAUUGCACAAUGGGCGGAAGCCUGAUGCAGCAACGCCGCGUGCGGGAUGACGGCCUUCGGGUUGUAAACCGCUUUCGCCUGUGACGAAGCGUGAGUGACGGUAAUGGGUAAAGAAGCACCGGCUAACUACGUG